CCCCUAGAUGUUCUGGGCCGCACGCGCGCUACACUGAACAGUUCAACAAGUCUUAACCUUGGCCGAUAGGUCUGGGUAAUCUUUGAACGCUGUUCGUGAUUGGGAUAGACCUUUGCAAUUAUGGGUCUUCAACGAGGAAUUCCUAGUAAACGCAAGUCAUCAGCUUGCAUUGAUUACGUCCCUGCCCUUUGUACACACCGCCCGUCGCUCCUACCGAUUGAAUGGUCCGGUGAAGCGUUCGGAUGUGUGAGGCGAGACGGUCCGCCGUCCCUCCUCGUGCAGAAGUUCGUUAAACCUUAUCAUUUAGAGGAAGGAGAAGUCGUAACA
rnacentral:rRNA from 1 species